ACAAAGAGCAGCAAGUUCGCGAGGACAAGCAAAUCUCAUCAACCGUGGCUCAGUUCAGAUCGUAGGCUGCAACUCGCCUACGUGAAGGAGGAAUCGCUAGUAAUCGCAGGUCAGCAUACUGCGGUGAAUACGUUCCCGGGCCUUGUACACACCGCCCGUCACACCAUGGAAGUUGGCCACGCCCGAAGCCGUUACUCCAACCCUUGUGGAGGAGGACGUCGAAGGUGGGGCUGAUGACUGGGGUGAAGUCGUAACAAGGUAGCCGUACCGGAAGGUGCGGCUGGAUCACCUCCUAAC
rnacentral:rRNA from 1 species